rnacentral:rRNA from 1 species
AGAGUUUGAUCAGUGGCUCAGGACGAACGCUGGCGGCGUGCUUAACACAUGCAAGUCGAACGGUAAGGCCCUUCGGGGUACACGAGUGGCGAACGGGUGAGUAACACGUGGGUGAUCUGCCCUGCACUUCGGGAUAAGCCUGGGAAACUGGGUCUAAUACCGGAUAGGACUCCUGGCUUCAUGGUUGGGGGUGUAAAGCUUUUGCGGUGUGGGAUGGGCCCGCGGCCUAUCAGCUUGUUGGUGGGGUAAUGGCCUACCAAGGCGACGACGGGUAGCCGGCCUGAGAGGGUGACCGGCCACACUGGGACUGAGAUACGGCCCAGACUCCUACGGGAGGCAGCAGUGGGGAAUAUUGCACAAUGGGCGCAAGCCUGAUGCAGCGACGCCGCGUGGGGAUGACGGCUUUCGGGUUGUAAACCUCUUUCAAUAGGGACGAAGCGCAAGUGACGGUACCUAUAGAAGAAGGACCGGCCAACUACGUG